rnacentral:misc_RNA from 1 species
GAUGAAGAACGCAGCGAAAUGCGAUAAGUAAUGUGAAUUGCAGAAUUCAGUGAAUCAUCGAAUCUUUGAACGCGCAUUGCGCCCCCUGGUAUUCCGGGGGGCAUGCCUGUCCGAGCGUCAUUACAACCCUCAAGCUCAGCUUGGUGUUGGGCCCCGCCGCCCCGGCGGGCCCUAAAGUCAGUGGCGGUACCGUCCGGCUCCGAGCGUAGUAAUUCUUCUCGCUCUGGAGGUCCGGUCGUGUGCUCGCCAGCAACCCCCAAUUUUUUUCAGGUUGACCUCGGAUCAGGUAGGGAUACCCGCUGAACUUAAGCAUAUCAAUAAGCGGAGGA